GAUUUUAUUUGUUUUGGACUUCCCGACGUCUUAAAAAAAUGAAGUCGAUCACUUUAUAUUUAAUUUUGUCGGUUUCGCUAUCGGCCAAGCUGAGUCUCGUCGAUGCAGCCCCACCUAAGGAUUUUCACCAGCUUCUCCAGCCCAUGAUCGACCACUUUGAGGAGUUUAAGCAAAAGGCCGAAAUAAACGAUAACCUGGAUGGGAUCAUAUCUGAUUUAAAAAAGGAUAUUAAACUUUUAAAAAGUGAGCUAGCAGCGGCUGAUGUUCAAAUCAAAGUAAAAGAAGACAUCAUACGUGUCCAAGAGAAAAACAUUAUUAAACUUCAAAAAAAUAAUGAUGAAAGCGUAAAUGUUUUAAAUGAAAAUAUUAGAGACUUAAAGAAUCAUUUAAAAAUAGCUGAAGUUGAAAUUUUGAGCAAAAACGAAUUAUUAUAUAAACAAAUUAAUGAAAGCAUAGAGCAAAAAGGUCAGCUAAAUAAGCAAAUCACUGAUCUAACUGAACAACUGCAGAGCUUGAACAGUGAGUGGGAAAUGGCUAAAGAAGUUAUCAAAACGAAAGACGAGGACAUAAAUCUAAAAAGCAAUGAAAUCCUAAGGCAAAAUGAACUGCUCAUAAACAAAGAGAUUCGCAUCAAAGAAUUAGAGGAUCGGAUUUUGCUUAGAGAAGGAGAAAUCGAUAAAAAAAAUGAAUCGUUAAUGCGCAUACAUCAAUUCCUUGAUAGUGUAUAUAAAAUUAAACUGAACUGAUCCGAUCUGGUUUUGGAUGUUGGUGCCAUUACUGCUGUUUUUCUACGAAGACAGUACAGAUGAUCGCAACAAAGCGACCUUCCCUUGUUCCCUUGUUGAGCUGAAGUACAGUACACAAUAAAUCCAAUAUUCAUCUACAGUCAAUUUUAUUGAGUAUACCAGAAAAUGUUAUUUUCAAUAAUUCGAAAAAUAUAUAUGCAUAUUCAUCCGCAAUUUUAAUAAACACA